UCCAGCUUGGCGUCGAAAUUAACAAAGUUAGAAUUUAGAGUCCUAACUAUUUGAGAAAGCCAGGGAAAUGGGAAUUGACACAGGGAAGGCGGACGUAGGAGAAGAGCCACAGUUCAGUAAUUUCCUGCUGUAGCAAUUUAAUUUGAAGAAAGAAGUGGGACGUAAGGAAAGGGGCAGACCACCCCUAUUUGUGAGGCCCCGUCAGAAGUAUAAGUGAAGGCCCACAUACCUUUUGUCUGAAUAUUUAAAAGUUGUAAAUCAAGCUAAAUACUAAAGGAGAUACGUUCUAGCCUCCUAACUUAAAUAUAUCUUCCUAACAGUCUGAAAGAUCAAGUCCGAAUUUAGAAUUCUAGGACUGGAAUUCCAGGCAAGGAGAGCUGCCAAAAUCCUCUUCCCAUUCCACUUCCCCUUCACACCACAUGGGCGGACACUUGGCCACCACCGGGGCCUUGGGAUGAGCACACACUCGGGAGGAUGGACCUAAAGAAAUGCUUUUGCAAGUCCUGAAAACAACAGUGAUGAAGUAGUACUGCAUGUAACAAUAUGGAUACAUCUGAAAAAUACGCUGUUAAAUGAGCAAGACAGAUGGCAGACGGAUAGUUUCACAGGUUGAGAAGAAGAAAUGUACUCUAAGCGCUGUACUUAAGGAAUUAAAACUGAGGAGCCCCAACUGCACCUGGACCUGAUUUAGAUGACAAGAUUUUGGAUAUUGAGCUCACACUGCAAUGGGAUGAGACUUUGCAAUCCUUGGAGGGAGAACCAGUGCCUGUUUGGAAAAGUACUAUGGGCACACAAGGAAGAAAGCGAUGCAGUGAUAAAUAUCAACAAGGCUACUGCACGAUGAUAGCGAUGCCAAAGAAGAGCAUUACAUAAUGACAUCAAAAUAGGCCACUCGAGGAAUGUCUUAGAGCUAAAACAGCUGUCACCUGGUAUUUUGGCAUUAUUGAAGAACAUGAAGAGAUAGUCCCUGGAAACUGGAGAGUACAGAUUAUUUGCAACAACAAUUUUCAGAGGUCAAGAAUAUGUUUUCCUCAUUUUUAAAAAAAGUUAACCUCUUAUUAUCAUUUUCACUUGAGAAAACUAUGAUGCUCUAAAAUGUCUAAUACCUAAACACUGCCUAUAGGUAGGCAUCAAAGGAAGAGAGAAGCUCCCCUCAUUAUACCAGUUCCUAAAUAAACCUGUAAACUUGGAGAUAUUUCUCUAUUUUAUAGAUUAUCCAGACCUUUCACUUUUACUUAUAAAUAAUCCCACUCUUAAGGAACAUUAAGAACAGGAUAAUAUGUGAAAUUCUAACUGUCAAUUUUGCUGUUAGUAAAAUGUCUGUUAGGACAAAAGUUUACAACCCUGGAAUUGAAAAAUGACUAACUGGUUUAAUAUGUGUAAUUUUCUUAUUUUUUUUUACCUUCUAGCUCAGUGAGAUGCUGUUCUGAAGUUGCUUUCCUCUAGGGCUGCUACUGUCAUCUUUUGUUCACUUGGCUAAAGAGGUCAGGUGCUUCAUCCAUUUAAAGAUGCAUCAAUUCUAUGAUGUGUUGUGUAUUGACUAUGUGCCAGAGGCUGCAACUGCAAAGGUGGAAGGUGCACUCUGCACUCCAAGAACUUCCCAUUAGUCGGGGAG